CCUCCCCUGAGGGUCUGUUAUUACUUCUUGGAAGACCUUGGCUGUCCUUGCUUGCAUGAUUGGAAAGAGUACGAUUCUGAAUUUGGGUUUAUGAUAAAGUACGAUCAUUGUGAAAAGGUGUUUUAUCUCCAGCUGUUGAGCAAUCCAGGAAAAAAAAACAAAACGGAAGAAGGAUACCGAGCCAGCUAGCCAAAUAAUAACUGAUGAUAGCAUCUGAUCUGUGUGACUUUUGACAGCUGCAAGAGGAACCGUGUCAUCUUGCAAGAGUAUAAAUUGCCAGCGGAGAGACCGCAGCCCCACACUGAAGGCAUCAUGCAAGUCCUCCUCCUGCUCGCGGGUCUAGGGUUCUGCUGGGGGCAGUACAACCCCAACGUUCAGGCCGGGACGACAUCUAUCGUACAUCUCUUUGAAUGGCGCUGGGCCGAUAUUGCUCUUGAGUGUGAGCGCUAUUUAGCUCCUUAUGGAUUUGGGGGAGUCCAGGUUUCACCUCCAAAUGAAAACAUUAUCGUUACUGACCCAUUCAGACCCUGGUGGGAAAGAUACCAGCCCAUCAGCUACAAGCUCUGCACUCGGUCAGGAGACGAAAACGAAUUCAGGGACAUGGUGACCAGAUGCAACAACGUUGGAGUUCACAUUUAUGUGGAUGCUGUGGUCAACCACAUGUGUGGCUCCGGGGGUGGCUCAGGCACUCAUUCUACCUGCGGAAGCUACUUUAAUGCCGGCGAGAGAGAUUUUCCAGCUGUGCCAUACUCUGGCUGGGAUUUCAAUGAUGGCAAAUGUCAAACUGCAAGUGGAGAAAUUGAAAAUUAUGGUGACAUGUAUCAGGUCCGGGACUGUCGCUUGACUGGCCUUCUUGAUCUGGCCCUGGAGAAGGACUAUGUACGCUCCACAGUUGCUGAGUACAUGAACCGUCUCAUUGAUAUUGGCGUAGCAGGCUUCCGAAUUGAUGCUGCCAAGCAUAUGUGGCCUGGGGACAUAAAAGCAUUUCUGGACCAGCUGAAAGAUCUAAAUACUGAAUGGUUUUCUGCAGGAACAAGACCUUUCAUUUACCAAGAGGUAAUUGACUUGGGUGGAGAGCCGAUCACAGGCAGUGACUACUUUGAGAACGGCCGAGUGACAGAAUUCAAAUACGGUGGCCAAACUGGGGACGGUGAUCCGCAAGUGGGAUGGAGAAAAGAUGGCUUACUUAGUGAACUGGGGAGAAGGCUGGGGCUUUGUGCCUUCCGACAGAGCCCUGGUUUUUGUGGAUAAUCACGACAACCAGCGGGGCACGGGGCCGGUGGAGCUUUCCAUUCUGACCUUCUGGGACUCCAGGCUUUAUAAGAUGGCAGUUGGUUCAUGCUCGCUCAUCCGUAUGGGUUCACGCGUGUGAUGUCGAGUUUUCGCUGGCCAAGAAUUUUGUAAACGGAGAGGAUGUCAAUGACUGGGUUGGGCCACCAAGCGAGUCGGAUGGCUCGACAAAGGCCGUUACAAUCAACGAAGACACUACCUGUGGCAAUGACUGGGUUUGUGAACAUCGCUGGCGUCAAAUCAGGAACAUGGUUGUCUUCCGUAACGUGGUGGACGGUGAGCCGUUCUCCAACUGGUGGGACAACGACAGCAACCAAGUAGCUUUUGGCCGUGGCAGUAAAGGCUUCAUCGUUUUCAAUAAUGAUGACUGGGAUAUGAACGUCGAUUUGCAAACUGGGCUGCCUGCUGGUACCUACUGUGAUGUUAUUUCUGGAGAUAAGGAGGACAACCGAUGCACUGGAAGCCAGGUGUAUGUUUCUGAGGAUGGACUGGCUAAUUUCCAGAUUAGUAGCCAGGCUGAAGAUCCAUUCAUGGCAAUUCACGUUAAUGCCAAGUUGUAGCUCGGGAGAAACGUCCUUCUCCGUUUGGUCUCUGCGUUACCGUUUCCCCCGCAACUGGUGACUCCCUGGUGUUGAGCAGGAGUGAUUCUCUGUAUCUAGUGAAUAAUAAAUGGCAAGCAAAUU